rnacentral:rRNA from 1 species
CCUACGGGUGGCAGCAGUGAGGAAUAUUGGUCAAUGGACGAGAGCCUGAACCAGCCAAGUAGCGUGAAGGAUGACUGCCCUAGGGGUUGUAAACUUCUUUUAUAAAGGAAUAAAACGAGGCACGUGUGCCGUUUUGCAUGUACUUUAUGAAUAAGGAGCGGCUAACUCCGUGCCAGCAGCCGCGGUAAUACGGAGGAUCCGAGCGUUAUCCGGAUUUAUGGGGUUUAAAGGGAGCGUAGGUGGGUGGUUAAGUCAGUUGUGAAAGUUUGCGGCUCAACCGUAAAAUUGCAAUUGAUACUGGCAGUCUUGAGUGCAGUAGAGGUAGGCGGAAUUCGUGGUGUAGCGGUGAAAUGCUUAGAUAUCACGAAGAACCCCGAUUGCGAAGGCAGCUUACUAGACUGUAACUGACGUUGAGGCUCGAAAGUGUGGGUAGCAAACAGGAUUAGAUACCCCAGUAGUC